rnacentral:rRNA from 1 species
GACAGAGGCCUCGAGCGCUAGGCGGAAUCACUGGGCUUAAAGCGUGUGUAGGCGGAUCGUUAAGUACCUUGUGAAAUCCCACGGCUCAACCGUGGAACGGCUGGGUAUACUGGCGGUCUUGGGCCAUUCAGGGGCGACUGGAACAAGCGGUGGAGCGGUGAAAUGCGUAGAUAUCGCUUGGAACGCCGAAGGUGAAAACAGGUCGCUGGGGAUGUGCCGACGCUGAGACACGAAAGCCAGGGGAGCAAACGGG